UGAGGAAUAUUGGUCAAUGGGCGCAAGCCUGAACCAGCCAUGCCGCGUGCAGGAAGACGGUCCUAUGGAUUGUAAACUGCUUUUAUUUGGGAAUAAACCUAUCUACGUGUAGAUAGCUGAAGGUACCAAAUGAAUAAGCACCGGCUAACUCCGUGCCAGCAGCCGCGGUAAUACGGAGGGUGCAAGCGUUAUCCGGAAUCAUUGGGUUUAAAGGGUCCGCAGGCGGGUUUAUAAGUCAGUGGUGAAAGG
rnacentral:rRNA from 1 species